CGGUGCGGUCAUACCAACGUUAAUGCACCGGAUCCCAUCAGAACUCCACAGUUAAGCGUGCUUGGGCCAGAGUAGUACUGGGAUGGGUGACCUCUCAGGAAGAACCUUGUUUUUGCAAGUC
rnacentral:rRNA from 1 species